rnacentral:rRNA from 1 species
GUGGGAAUAUUGGACAAUGGGCGAAAGCCUGAUCCAGCAAUACCGCGUGAAUGAUGAAGGCCUUCGGGUUGUAAAGUUCUUUUAAUAGGAAAGAUAAUGACGGUACCUAUAGAAUAAGCACCGGCAAACUUCGUGCCAGCAGCCGCGGUAAUACGAAGGGUGCUAGCGUUGUUCGGAAUUAUUGGGCGUAAAGGGUGUGUAGGUGGUUUUGUAAGUUAGCUGUGAAAUCCCGGGGCUCAACCUCGGACUGGCAGUUAAAACUGCAAAACUAGAGUAUGAUAAGCGAUGGCAGAAUUUCUAGUGUAGGGGUAAAAUCCGCAGAUAUUAGAAGGAAUACCGGUGGUGUAGACGGCUAUCUUGGUCAUAACUGACACUGAAACACGAAAGUGUGGGGAGCAAACA